rnacentral:lncRNA from 1 species
UAUGUCUUAAAUUAGCAGUUAUAUCCUUAGGGUUAUAAUUAGGAAUAAAAGUAGACCAGCCAGUACCAAUACCUUCGGCUCCAUUGACAAGUACCAUGGGAAGAAUUGGCACAUAAUACUCUGGUUCAAUCCACUGGCCUUCGUCGUUUUGGUAAUUAAGAAGCUGGUCAUCAUUGGAAUUAAAUAAAACACGUGCUAAGGGUGAUAAAGCUGUAUUUAGAUACCUUGAAGCCGAUGCAUUUUUUCCACCCUCAGAUCGUGUACCGAAUUGUCCAUUAGGCAUCAGCAAAUUAAUGUUGUUACUGCCAACAAAAUUUUGGGCAAGAUUAACUAUAGUUUGCUCCAUCGAAACCUCGCCAUGGUGGUAUGCAGUUUCACUAGCAACAUAGCCGGCAAGUCUACUGACUUUAGUUUCAUGGACGAGAUUGCGUUUAAAACAAUAAUAGACAACUUUACGCUGACCAGGCUUCAAGCCAUCUACUACUGAAGGAAUCGAACGGAUAUUAUCAGCCAUACUGAAUUGGAUAAGCUCUCGAUUAAUGAAGUCAUCAAUCGGAAUCUGAGGUUGAGUAUAAUCCAUAUAUAUACCAGGUCGAUACGUUCUAAGCCAUUCCUUACGCACAUCGGCCUUUUUCUUGGCAAAUGCCAUUUCAAUUAAUUCAGCAUCCUUCUCCUGCAUGGCAUGAAAGUACUUCAUGUGACGAUCAAGGUCUGAAAAAUAACUUUUCAUAUCGUCAUGGUCACUUGUUCCCAAACCCUUGUAGUAUUUAAUUUUCCAACCACGUCCAUUGUUAUUAGCUUCCUUCCAGUAUUCGUACUCGGGUAAAGUGUAAAAUGCUUGAACCUGAUUGCCACGAGUGCACUUAAUGAUAGGUGUGAUAAAUUGGAUCAAGAAUCCAGGAAUUUGCAAAAGAGAAGGAUACGAGGAUUCUAAAUAAUUAAUAAUUAAACCUUUAAUAUGUGAUCCAUCAUGAUCUUGAUCUGUCAUAAUCAUUAAAUGACCAUAACGAAGACCUUUCACAUCGGUAUAAGUUUUUUUAUGAGUGAAUCCCAUGAUUUUCUUGAUAGCUUGAAUUUCUUUGUUAUUUAGGAUUUGGGAAUGAGAAGCCUCCCGUACAUUCAGUAGUUUUCCUCUUAACGGAAAAACUCCAUAAUAGUCUCUACCAACAACACUGAGACCCGAAACAGCUAAAGAUUUAGCAGAAUCUCCCUCAGUGAGGAUAAGGACACACUUAUGGGAUUCUUUGGUACCCGCUUUAUUUGCGUCUUCGAGUUUGGUUAAACCCGUUAUACGAGAACGCAAACCCCCAUCGCCCUUACUGAGUUGCUGAUCUGCCUUAGCGGUAGCAAAUUUUAAAACCUCCUCCACUACAGAAGAUUUUUUGAUAGCUUUUAAAAAUUUAUCACUUAAUGUGCAUUGAGAGCCAAAAGCAGAAACUUUCGUGGUGAGAGUCUCCUUUGUUUGGGAAUCAAAGGAUGGGUUCUCUAUUUGACAAUUGACAAAUACCUGUACGUAAUUUUUUAUUUGAAACGCUUUAACGGGUGCCUUUUUAUUCUCCUUCUUGACGACUUCAUCUAUAGCAUCGACAAUUUUAUUGGCAACAUAAUUAACAUGUGUACCUCCACGAAUGGUAGAAAUAUUGUUAACAAACGAAACCUGCUUAAACUGUCCAUCUGAAACAGCAAAGGCCACGUCCCAACGGUCAUUAACAUGUUCAUAAAUUACCCUAGGAGGCUCUUCAUCAGGUUUAGUGUCAGAAGCAAGAUACAUCUCCACAUAUUUCUUAAAUCCACUUAUACUGAUGCGUUCAUUGUUCAGGUAAACUUUAGUUUCACGAACGGUACCUGCCAUAUCAUAAAUACGGCGUUUUAUAAUAGAUACCAUAUCAUCAUCAAUCUUGUCCAUACCAAAUUUUGCUAAAUCGGGUUUGAAUGUAAUUUUUGUGUAUUCAUCGGGUUUCUUGAGAGAAGUGAUCACUGGCUCAGACUUUCUGGACAUAUUGUCAUACCAAGUUUGUUUAUAUUUCUUCAUCCUUUCCUUAUCAGCUGUCUCAACGACAAAUUCAGUAGAAAAAAUAUUGCAAAGUUUUGCGCCGUAACCAUUUCUUCCUCCUGUUACCUUCUUUUGAUUAUCGUCGUAAUUGCUUGAAGUAAGCAAGUUACCAAAAAUAAGCUCGGGGAUGUAAAUUUUCUCUUUAUCAUGAAUCUCUAUAGGAAUGCCCUUGCCAUUGUUAUAAAUUGAUAUGACAUUUGCUUCAGGAUCCAAAGUCACCUUUAGGGUAUUCAUGUUUGGGUCGCGAACUUUGUUGUCAGCAGCAUUGACAAUUAUUUCGUCAAAUAUCUUGUAAAGGCCUGGAACAUAGGUCACUGCUUUGUAAUCCAGCUUGUUCUUCUCAGAGUCAAAGACCCACAUUUCAGAAGUCGUUGGCUCAAUACUGCCAAUGUAUGUAUCCGGACGUCUUAGCACAUGCUCUCUCGGUGUAAGACGCUGGUACUGUGUAGAUACAUUAGAAUUUCCAUUUCCGUUGUUGGUAACUAGUGGUAUCUGUUCAGAAGCUGUCAUGGAUGUCAAGCUAGUUUGCCUUAAGUCAGGAGUGCUUGCCUUCUUGGCGCGAGACUUUGAGGAUGUUGUAGAUGCUUUCUAAAAAAGUUGUUAGUAUUUUAAAAUAAU